ensembl:lncRNA
AACAGGGAUUCAAUGAUGGGCUCAAUUGACUCUAAUAUACCAGUGUAGCUGUGUACAAAUGGAAAUUGUGGCUGCAAUUUGUUGGAGGAGAUCUCGCCCGGCCGCUGUGUGAGACACCGUGGUGACAAACUGGAGGUUAGGGAAUGUAUCCGUGCAGCUCAGACACGGUGGAGGCAGGUAGACUAGAGGGGAGGCAGGUAGACUAGAGGGGAGGCAGGUAGACUAGAGGGGAGGCAGGUAGACUAGAGGGGAGGCAGGUAGACUAGAGGGGCGGCAGGUAGACUAGAGGGGCGGCAGACUAGAGGGGCGGCAGGUAGACUAGAGGGGCUGCAGGUAGACUAGAGGGGUGGCAGGAAGACUAGAGGGGCUGCAGGUAGACUAGCGGGGAGGCAGGUAGACUAGAGGGGAGGCAGGUAGUCUAGAGGGGAUCCGUACAGAAAUGGUUUGUCGAGAUCGGUGUGGCCUGCACAGAGACCUGACCUCAACCCCAUCGAACACCUUUGGGAUGAAUUGGAAAGCCGACUACAAGCCAGGUCUAAUCGCCCAACAUCAAUGCCCGACCUCACUAAUGCUCUUGUGGCUGAAUGGAAGCAAGUCCCCGCAGCAAUAUUCCAACAUCUAGUGGAAAGCCUUUCCAGAAGAGUGGAGGCUGUUACAGCAG